rnacentral:tRNA from 1 species
GUUGUUGUGGUUUCCCGAGUGGUUAAGGCGAUGGACUUGAAAUCCAUUGGGGUUUCCCAGCGCAGGUUCAAAUCCUGCCAACAACG